AAUUUAUUUAAGCCCAAAGUAACACAAUGUUUCGACCUUGCCGUCUUUGUCAAAGAUCGCAAGGUCGAAACGUUGUGUUACUUUGGGCUUCAAUAAAUU